rnacentral:rRNA from 1 species
CCUACGGGAGGCAGCAGUGGGGAAUUUUGGACAAUGGGCGCAAGCCUGAUCCAGCCAUGCCGCGUGUCUGAAGAAGGCCUUCGGGUUGUAAAGGACUUUUGUCAGGGAAGAAAAGGGCGGGGUUAAUACCCCUGUCUGAUGACGGUACCUGAAGAAUAAGCACCGGCUAACUACGUGCCAGCAGCCGCGGUAAUACGUAGGGUGCGAGCGUUAAUCGGAAUUACUGGGCGUAAAGCGGGCGCAGACGGUUACUUAAGCAGGAUGUGAAAUCCCCGGGCUCAACCUGGGAACUGCGUUCUGAACUGGGUGACUAGAGUGUGUCAGAGGGGGGUAGAAUUCCACGUGUAGCAGUGAAAUGCGUAGAGAUGUGGAGGAAUACCGAUGGCGAAGGCAGCCUCCUGGGAUAACACUGACGUUCAUGCCCGAAAGCGUGGGUAGCAAACAGGAUUAGAUACCCUGGUAGUCCACGCCCUAAACGAUGUCGAUUAGCUGUUGGGCAGCAUGACUGCUUAGUAGCGAAGCUAACGCGUGAAAUCGACCGCCUGGGGAGUACGGUCGCAAGAUUAAAACUCAAAGG